AAUAAACUGUCUGGUGAAUGUAUAAUCAGGGCCAUGGUGUUCUUUCCUGUCUGGAAAAUCUAGCGCAGCCUAAGAAAAUGUCCUGGGAAAAAACCCUCUGUGAAAGUGAAAUCACUGUAGCUUUGUCCUCCCUCAGUGCCCAUAUUAGGACUGUUGGGGAUCUGUCCAAGAGAGAGAGAGAGAAAGAGAGAGAGAGAAUGUGUUGCAUUUUUCAAGAAGAUUAGGGGUUGUGAAAUGCGGUAUCCACGGUCUCCACGCAAUCUCUUCUCCCCCAGUUAUUUUCUGGGACACUGUACUAUACAACUUUAUUUGAUGGCAGAACAUUCAGAGGCUGUAAGCGUGACACAUGGCAAAAUGCUUCUGCUGUUUCUGAGUCUCGGUUUGCUCACUUCUAAUGUCCAGUCAGAAAAACAAGGGGUUGAUGUCACGUGUGAAAAUCAAUCGGUUGUACCAGGACAGAACCACAACCUGACAUGUAGAGUGGAAUACAGAGAUGUAGAUCAGAAUAAUCUGGGAUGUAAAACGACAAAUUAUUUCUGGAAACAUAAAUCAAAAUCUCCAAUACGAAAUUGUGAUUGUACAAAAGAUUGUAACACUACGAUAACAACCAACACCUACUUUUGUGAGAUCAAAAAUGUUACCAAAGCUGAUGAGGGAAACUACACUUUUACCAUAAUCACAAACUGUGGCAACGGAAAUGGCACAUUGAAUGUUUCCGUUACAUGUGAGUACAAUGUUAAUAUACAGUGACCAGUGUUACACAGGUUAAAUGGGUUCAUGUGAUAUGACCAGGAAAAGGUUUUCAAAUUAGUAAUUCAAAUUAAAUGUGAUAAUACAGUAUUCAUAUACACUGAGUUAACAAAACAUUAGGAACACCUGCUCUUUCCAUGACAUAGACUGACCAGGUGAAUCCAGGUGAAAGCUAUGAUCCCUUAUUGAUGUCACUUGUUAAAUCCACUUCAAUCAGUGAUGAUGAAGGGGAGGAGACAGGUUAAAGAAGGAUUUUUAUUUAUUUAGAUUUGAGAUAAAUGAGACAUGUCUUGUGUAUGUGUACCAUUCAGAGGGUGAACGGGCAAGACAAGAUUUAAGUGCAUUUGAAUGAGAAUGGUCCACCACGCAAAGGACAUCCAGCCAACUUGACACAACUGUGGGAAACAUUGGAGUCAAGAUGGGCCAGCAUCCCUGUGGAACGCCUUCGACACCUUGUAGGGUCCAUGCCACAACGAAUUGAGGCUGUUCUGAGGGAAAAAGGGGUGCAACUCAAUAUUAGGAAGGUGUUCAUAAUGUUUUGUACACUCAGUGUAUACAUUCCAUAUGGGGCUUGAUACUUUCACAUUUGUGCUAACUUCUCUUUAUUUUCUCAGGGAGAAAUGAGAAACCAGAGGUGGUCAAAGGGGGAUCGUCACGUCACAUAUCACCAUUAUCAUCACUGUUCUGGGUGUUCUACUGUUUCUCAUCACUUCUGGUUAUGGCAGAAGAUUGAUGGAUCGACUUCAGUUCCUUGAGAAAAAUGACAACACUGACCAGAGCCCUGAAGCUACCAGAAAGGCUCUAAACCUGGUGCCUGGAUAACAUUCAGUUCAUGGAGGAGCCGUGUGUGUGUUAAUUAUUCUAUCCUUGUGGAGACAUCCCACGUCCUCAUGAAGACACAGGCAAUUUUAACUUCUUGCAUCGAGCCAUCCCGGAUCCGGGAUCGUGACUACAGCCUCAAGCCCAUUACCAUAACGCGACGUUAACUAUUCAUGAAAAUCGCAAAUGAAAUGAAAUAAAUAUGCUAGCUCUCAAGCUUAGCCUUUUGUUAACAAAACUGUCAUCACAGAUUUUCAAAAAUAUGCUUCUCAACCAUAGCAAAACAAGCAUUUGUGUAACAGCAUUGAUAGUUAGCAUAGCAUUUAGCGUUAGCAUUCAGCAGGCAACAUUUUCACAAAAACCAGAAAAGCAUUCAAAUAAAAUCAUUUACCUUUGAAGAACUUAGGAUGUUUCAAUGAGGAGACUCUCAGUUAGAUAGCAAAUGUUCAGUCAUGUUUGGCUACCAAAAAAAAACGAAAAUUCAUUCAUCAAAAUGCCGAACUUUUUUCCACAUUAACUCCAUAAUAUCGACUGAAACAUGGUAAACGUUGUUUAGAAUCAAUCCUCAAGGUGUUUUUCACAUAUCUCUUCAUGAUAUAUCGUUCGUGGAAGUCUCCUCUCUGUCUCAAUCACAUGGAAGAAUGGAAGAAUGCGUAAAGCCUGGUAAAUGUAGUCUCUUAUGGCCAAUCUUCCAAUGAUAUGUCUACAAAUACGUCACAAUGCUGCAGACACCUUGGAGAAACGAUAGAUAGGGCAGGCUCAUUCCUGGCGCAUUCACAGCCAUAUAAGGAGACAAUGAAAAACAGAGCCUCAAAAAUCCUGCUCAUUUCCUGUUUGAAGUUUCAUCUUGGUUUCGCCUGUAGCAUCAGUUCUGGGGCACUCACAGAUAAUAUCUUUGCAGUUUUGGAAACGUCAGUGUUUUCUUUCCAAAGCUGUCAAAUAUAUGCAUAGUCGAGCAUCUUUUUGUGACAAAAUAUUGCGCUUAAAACGGGCACGUUUUUUUUAUCCAGUAAUGAAAUAGCGUCCCCAUAGCUUCAAGAGGUUAAGCUUAGGUUAUGGGUUACAAUUAGGGUUAGGAGUUAGGUUUGGGUUAGUGUUAGGGGUUAAAGUUAAGGUUAUGGUAAGGGUUAGGAGUUAGGUUUGGGUUAGUGUUAUGGGUUAAAGUUAGGGUUAUGGUAAGGGUUAGGAGUUAGGUUUGGGUUAGUGUUAUGGGUUAAAGUUAGGGUUAUGGUAAGGGUUAGGAGUAAGGUUUGGGUUAGUGUUAUGAGUUAAAGUUAGGGUUAGGAAUUAGGUUAGUGUUAGGGGUUAAAGUUAGGGCUAUGGUAAGGGUUAGUGUUAUGGGUUAAAGUUAGGGUUAUGGUAAGGGUUAGGAGUUAGGUUUGGGUUAGUGUCAUGGGUUAAAGUAAGGGUUAUGGUAAGGGUUAGGAAUUAGGUGUGGGUUAGUGUUAUGGGUUAAAGUUAGGGUAAGGGUUAGGAGUUAGGUUUGGGUUAGUGGUAUGGGUUAAAGUUAGGGUUAUGGUAAGAGUUAGGUUUGGGUUAGUGUUAUUGGUUAAAGUUAGGGUUAUGGUAAGGGUUAGGAGUUAGGUUUGGGUUGGUGUUAGUGUUACGGGUUAAAGUUAGGUUUAUGGUAAGGGUUUGGAGUUUGGUUUGGGUUAGUGUUAUGGGUUGAAGUUAGGGUAAUGGUUAGGAGUUAGUGUUAUGGGUUAAAGUUAGGGUUAUGGUAAGGGUUAGGAGUUAGGUUUGGGUUAAAGUUAGGGUUAUGGUAAGGGUUAGGAGUUAGGUUUGGGUUAGUGUUAUGGGUUAAAGUUAAGAUUUAUGGUAAGGGUUAGGAGUUAGGUUUGGGUUAAUGUUAUGGGUUAAAGUUAGGGUUAAGAGUUAGGUUUGGGUUAGUGUCAAGGGUUAAAGUUAGGGUUAUGGUAAGGGUUAGGAGUUUGGUUUGGGUUAGUGUUAUGUGUUAAAGUAAGGGUUAUGGUAAGGGUUAGGAAUUAGGUGUGGGUUAAUGUUAUGGGUUAAAGUUAGGGUAUGGGUUAGGAGUUAGGUUUGGGUUAGUGUUAUGGUUUAAAGUUAGGGUUAUGGUAAGAGUUAGGUUUGGGUUAGUGUUAUUGGUUAAAGUUAGGGUUAUGGUAAGGGUUAGGAGUUAGGUUUGGGUUGGUGUUAGUGUUACGUGUUAAAGUUAGGGUUAUGGUAAGGGUUUGGAGUUUGGUUUGGGUUAGUGUUAUGGGUUGAAGUUAGGGUAAUGGUUAGGAGUUAGGUUUGGGUUAGUGUUAUGGUUAAAGUUAGGGUUAUGGUAAGGGUUAGGAGUUAGGUUUGGGUUAGUGUUAGGGGUUAAAGUUAGGGUUAUGAUAAGGGUUAGUGUUAUGGGUUAAAGUUAGGGUUAUGGUAAGGGUUAGGAGUUAGGUUUGGGUUAGUGUUAGGGGUUAAAGUUAGGGUAAGGGUUAGUGUUAGGGGUUAAAGUUAGGGUAAGGGUUAGUGUUAGGGGUUAAAGUUAGGGUUCUGGUAAGGGUUAGUGGUUAAAGUUAGGGUAAGGGUUAGUGUUAGUGGUUAAAGUUAGGGUUAUGGUAAGGGUUAGGAGUUAGGUUUGGGUUAGUGUUAUGGGUUAUGGUAAGGGUUAGGAAUUAGGUUUGGGUUAGUGUUAUGGGUUAAAGUUAGGGUAAGGGUUAGGAGUUAGGUUUGGGUUAGUGUUAUGGGUUAAAGUUAGGGUUAUGGUAAGGGUUAGGAGUUAGGUUUGGGUUAGUGUUAUGGGUUGAAGUUAGGGUUAUGGUAAGAGUUAGGUUUGGGUUAGUGUUAUUGGUUAAAGUUAGGGUUAGGAGUUAGGUUUGGGUUGGUGUUAGUGUUAUGGGUUAAAGUUAGGGUUAUGAUAAGGGUUUGGGUUAGUGUUAUGGGUUGAAGUUAGGGUAAGGGUUAGGAGUUAGGUUUGGGUUAGUGUCAUGGGUUAAAGUUAGGGUUAUGGUAAGGGUUAGGAGUUAGGUUUGGGUUGGGUUGGUGUUAUGGGUUAAAGUUAGGGUUAUGGUAAGGGUUAGUUGUUAGGUUUGGGUUAGUGUUUGGGGUUAAAGUUAGGGUUAUGGUAAGGGUUAGGAGUUAGGUUUGGGUUAGUGUUAGGGGUUAAAGUUAGGGUUAUGAUAAGGGUUAGUGUUAUGGGUUAAAGUUAGGGUUAUGGUAAGGGUUAGGAGUUAGGUUUGGGUUAGUGUUAGGGGUUAAAGUUAGGGUAAGGGUUAGUGUUAGGGGUUAAAGUUAGGGUUCUGGUAAGGGUUAGUGGUUAAAGUUAGGGUAAGGGUUAGUGUUAGUGGUUAAAGUUAGGGUUAUGGUAAGUGUUAGGAGUUAUGUUUGGGUUAGUGUUAUGGGUUAUGGUAAGGGUUAGGAAUUAGGUUUGGGUUAGUGUUAUGGGUUAAAGUUAGGGUAAGGGUUAGGAGUUAGGUUUGGGUUAGUGUUAUGGGUUAAAGUUAGGGUUAUGGUAAGGGUUAGGAGUUAGGUUUGGGUUAGUGUUAUGGGUUAAAGUUAGGGUUAUGGUAAGAGUUAGGUUUGGGUUAGUGUUAUUGGUUAAAGUUAGGGUUAGGAGUUAGGUUUGGGUUGGUGUUAGUGUUAUGGGUUAAAGUUAGGGUUAUGAUAAGGGUUUGGGUUAGUGUUAUGGGUUGAAGUUAGGGUAAGGGUUAGGAGUUAGGUUUGGGUUAGUGUCAUGGGUUAAAGUUAGGGUUAUGGUAAGGGUUAGGAGUUAGGUUUGGGUUGGGUUGGUGUUAUGGGUUAAAGUUAGGGUUAUGGUAAGGGUUAGUUGUUAGGUUUGGGUUAGUGUUUGGGGUUAAAGUUAGGGUUAUGGUAAGGGUUGGGAGUUGGGUUUGGGUUAGUGUUAGGGGUUAAAGUUAGGGUUAUGGUAAGGGUUAGUGUUAUGGGUUAAAGUUAGGGUUAUGGUAAGGUUUAGAAGUUAGGUUUGGGUUAGUGUUAGGGGUUAAAGUUAGGGUUCUGGUAAGGGUUAGUGGUUAGUGGUUAAAGUUAUGGUAAGGGUUAGUGUUAGUGGUUAAAGUUAGGGUUAUGGUAAGGGUUAGUGUUAUGGGUUAAAGUUAGGGUUAUGGUAAGGGUUAGGAGUUAGGUUUUGGUUAGUGUUAUUGGUUAAAGUUAGGGUUAUGGUAAGGGUUAGGUUUGGGUUGGUGUUAGUGUUAUGGGUUAAAGUUAGGGUUAUGAUAAGGGUUAGGAGUUAGGUUUGGGUUAGUGUUAUGGGUUGAAGUUAGGGUAAGGGUUAGGAGUUAGGUUUGGGUUAGUGUUAUGGGUUAAAGUUAGGGUUAUGGUAAGGGUUAGGAGUUAGGUUUGGGUUAGUGUUUGGGGUUAGGGUUAUGGUAAGGGUUAGUGUUAUGGGUUAAAGUUAGGGUUAUGGUAAGGGUUAGGAGUUAGGUUUGGGUUAGUGUUAGGGGUUAAAGUUAGGGUAAGGGUUAGUGUUAGGGGUUAAAGUUAGGGUUCUGGUAAGGGUUAGUGGUUAAAGUUAGGGUAAGGGUUAGUGUUAGUGGUUAAAGUUAGGGUUAUGGUAAGGGUUAGGAGUUAGGUUUGAGUUAGUGUUAUGGGUUAUGGGUUAUGGUAAGGGUUAGGAAUUAGGUUUGGGUUAGUGUUAUGGGUUAAAGUUAGGGUAAGGGUUAGGAGUUAGGUUUGGGUUAGUGUUAUGGGUUAAAGUUAGGGUUAUGGUAAGGGUUAGGAGUUAGGUUUGGGUUAGUGUUAUGGGUUAAAGUUAGGGUUAUGGUAAGGGUUAGGAGUUAGGUUUGGGUUAGUGUUAUUGGUUAAAGUUAGGGUAAGGGUUAGUGUUAGUGGUUAAAGUUAGGGUUAGUGGUUAAAGUUAGGGUAAGGGUUAGUGUUAGUGGUUAAAGUUAGGUUUAUGGUAAGGGUUAGGAGUUAGGUUUGGGUUAGUGUUAUUGGUUAAAGUUAGGGUUAGGGUUAGUGUUAGUGGUUAAAGUUAGGGUUAUGGUAAGGGUUAGGAGUUAGGUUUGGGUUAGUGUUAGUGGUUAAAGUUAGGGUAAGGGUUAGUGUUAGUGGUUAAAGUUAGGGUAAGGGUUAGUGUUAGUGGUUAAAGUUAGGGUUAUUGUUAGUGGUUAAAGUUAGGGUUAUGGUAAGGGUUUGGGUUAGUGUUAGUGGUUAAAGUUAGGGUAAGGGUUAGUGUUAGUGGUUAAAGUUAGGGUUAGUGUUAGUGGUUAAAGUUAGGGUUAUGGUAAGGGUUAGUGGUUAAAGUUAGGGUAAGGGUUAGUGUUAGUGGUUAAAGUUAGUGUUAUGGUAAGGGUUAGGAGUUAGGUUUGGGUUAAUGUUAGUGGUUAAAGUUAGGGUAAGGGUUAAUGUUAGUGGUUAAUGUUAGGGUAAGGGUUAGUGUUAGUGGUUAAUGUUAGGGUAAGGGUUAGUGUUCGUGGUUAAAGUUAGGGUUAGUGUUAGUGGUUAAAGUUAGGGUUAUGGUAAGGGUUAGGAGUUAGGUUUGGGUUAGUGUUAUGGGUUAAAGUUAGGGUUAUGGUAAGGGUUAGGAGUUAGGUUUGGGUUAGUGUUAUGGGUUAAAGUUAGGGUUAUGGUAAGGGUUAGGAGUUAGGUUUGGGUUAGUGUCAUUGGUUAAAGUUAGGGUUAUGGUAAGGGUUAGGAGUUAGGUUUGGGUUAGUGUCAUUGGUUAAAGUCAGGGUAAGGGUUAGUGUUAGUGGUUAAAGUUAGGGUUAGUGGUUAAAGUUAGGGUAAGGGUUAGUGUUAGUGGUUAAAGUUAGGGUUAUGGUAAGGGUUAGGGAAAAUAUGACUGAAUGUAAAUAAAUGUUUAUAAAUAAAUAAAUAUAUUUUACUCUGUACAGGCUUCCAUCUUUUCCAUCCAUCUUUUCACCCAUCCAUCUUUUCCAUCCAUCUUUUCACUCAAUUAUCAAUUAUUGUCAAUUAUUAAUAUACCUUUAUUUAACUAGGCAGGUCAGUAAAGAACAAAUUCUUAUUUACUAUUUUUUACCUUUAUUUUUUUUUUACCUUUAUUCCCCACAAGGAUAAAAUAAUGUGUGUGUUGCUUGUUAGUAGUGGUUUUCAAAAAUAUAUUUUACUCUGUACAGGCUUCCAUCUGUCCAUCAAUUUUUUUAUUUUACCUUUAUUUAACAAUGCAAGUCAGUUAAGAACAAAUUCUUAUUUUCAAUGACUGCCUAGGGACAGUUGUUUAACUGCCUGUUCAGAAUGACAGAUUUGUACCUUGUCAGCUCAGGGAUUUGAACUUGCAACCUUCCAGUUACUAGUCCAACGCUCUAACCACUAGGCAACCUGCCGCCCCAUCAAACUAGUCAAGGUUAGUAUUGUGGAGUAACUACAAUGUGUUUGAUCCAUCCUCAGUGUUCUCCUAUCACAUCCAUUAAACUCUGUAACAGUUUUAAAAUCACCAUUAGCCUCAUUGUGAAAUCCAUGAGCGGCUUCCUUCCAGUCUGACAACUGAGUUAGGAAGGACACCUGUAUUUUUCUAGUGACAGGAUGUAUUGAUACACCAUCCAAAGUCAAGUUAGUAAUUCCACCAAGCUGAAAGCGAUAUUCAAUGUCUGCUUUUUGUUUUACCCAUAUACCAAUAGGUUCCCUUUACAAGGCAUUUGGAAAACCUCCCUGGUCUUUGUGCUUGGAUCUGUGUUUGAAAUUCCAUUAAAAAAUCAUGUUAAAACACUAUUAUUGCACACAGAGUGAGUCCAUGCAAUUUAUUAUGUGAUUUGUUAAGCAAAUGUUUACUCAUGAACUUAUUUAGACUUGUCACAACAGAGGGAUUGAACACUUUUUUACUCAAGACAUUUAAGAUUUUUAUUUUUUUCAUUAUUUGUAAAACUUUUGAAAAACCAAAUUCCACUUUGACAUUAUGGGCUAUUGUGUGUGGACCAGUGACCCAAACAUCUCAGUUGAAUCUAUUUUCAAUUCAGGCUUUAACACAACAAAAUGUGGACAAAGUCAAGGGAUGUGAACACUUUCUGAAGGCACUGUGUCAUUUGAUGUGUUGUAUUAUUCUGCAAAACUCACAAGCACUGAUUUACCACUAAACUUGGUUUGUAUAAUUGAUGUGAUAUUCUGCAUGGGAAUUUUGUUAUGAAUAUCAUUAUUGAUUGAUGUAGAAAUACACCUUUGGAAAUAACCAGUCGUUAUAAUGUUACUUCUAUCAUAUAGAGCUUGUUGUCUUGUAUUUAAUUAUUAUCUACACCAAUAAUGUAUAUUUCAGACAUCGCAGUACAUACAGUAGCUCGCAGGUUGACAUUUAUUUGGAUGACUUAUGUAUGUGGAGGCAGCUCUGCAGAGUGGUCACUAGCUGGCACAACAACAAAGUCAUAAAACCUAACCAUAACUUUAACCCUAGAUAGCAUUUUUCAAAUCAACAAUUUUACAUCUACAGUGUUAAAUGUAACACUGAAUGUGUGUAUGUGACCCAUCAAAAUAGCGUUAUUAAACUAACACUGUUCAAAGUGUUGACAAACUAACACCCCUAGAGCGUUGGUUCCCUGACACCAUGGGUGUUGCAAAUUCAGACUUUAAAACUAUUAGAGAUGAUGCUGCUACACUUUUUAGUUUUAUUCCAUAACACAGUAUUUUGGGGGAGAGUGUUGUUACCACUGUAAGACCAUCUGCAUUUUUAACUCAAAUACUUAGUAAGUUCAAUGAAAAGUAAUUAUUACUUAAACUGACUCCAAACUAAAUGAGAAGUCAAAUCAACAACAUUAUGCAUGCUCUACUGCAUGUCCAUUUUUGUGAAUUGUUUUUAAAAUCUGUGUUUUUGCCAGAACAUCAAGUGAUUUAUUGAUUCAUCUUAUGCUGCACAAA